CUUGCUGGUAAUAAUUUUUAUUACUAUUAUUAUUAUUAUUAUUAUUAUUAUAAUAUUAAUAAUAAUAAUAAUAAUAAUAAUAAUAUUUAAAACUCAACAAUAAGCACCAGGACAAUUGUAAAUCUGUACAGUAACAAAUAUAUUUUUUACAUUAAAACAUAUUUUUACAUCACGUAACAUACUCUAAAUGUACACUAGAUUACAAGAAUUUCACUGUCAUUAAGAAUAAAUAUGACAAGUUACUGUAAAUCUUUUCACAUUCCUAAAUGUGAGAUAUAUUAACAAAAAAAAAACUUUAACCAGUGAACAAAUAUGAUAAAUAUAAAUUAAAAUUUUAUGUUAAAAAAGUAUUAUCAGUACAUGCAUUCUGUACUACCAUUAUGUGAGUGUUUUAAUUAAAUAUCAGAUGACAUAAUAAUAAUGAAUAAUGUGAUGGACUUUUUCAGGUUACUGAAUACAGUGGAACCUCGGUACUCGAACAGCUCCAUACUCAAACAAUUUGGCAUUUGAACACUUUGUUGAGUAAACAAAUCACUCGGUAGUCGACUGUUUGCUCGGAACUUAACCGAACAAAUGUGACCUGCCAGAACUUCGCUGCAAACUAUUUCGCAUAUUUUGGUGUUUCUUUAAUAUUAUUUGUAUAAAUAAGUCAUUAUGGGGCCUAAGAGGGCUAGUGAUAACAGUCAACCAAAAAGACAAUUGGUUGGGAAAAAUUUGUUCUGUACUCAAACAGAUCGGCACUCAAAUAGCCUUCUGAAACCAAUUAAGUUCGAGUGCCGAGGUUCCACUGUAAUAGAAAUUUGCUUCACAUUUGACAGACGUACAGUAAUAAUUUAAUUAAUGUAAUGUGACCCUGAUGACCUGCCUUGCACAUAUACAAAACUGGGUAUAAAGAUAUGUAAUGCAGAGAACGCCUUUAUUGUCAUUGGCACUUAGCUUAAGAUAGAGCUUCAUCAAGUCUCCAUCACAUGACUUGAUAAAACUCAGUCAUGAGCAAAAAGUCAUCUAAAAUGCAACCUUGCUCCAUAUUGCAUGUCUUUAUACCCACUUGUCAGUUUGUUGUCACAAUCACCAUGAAAAGACUGAUAAAGACUAAAUGAAUUAUGUUGAGGUUCCCACAUAUGAUGUGUCAAGAGCCCCAAUGGAAAGCCACUUUGUCUGACUUUCUUGGUUAUCCUAGGUACUCUACACAUGUGCUGCUAUGUAUGAUUAAGUAAGUAAGUAAGUAAGUUUAUUCAGGUAUACACAAAUACAGUUACAUAGAAUUAUCAUACAUAGCAGCAUAUGUGUAGAGAACCUAGGAUAACCCAAAAAAGUCAGACAGAGUGACUUAUUUGAUAUUUUAUUUGAUAAUUUAUGCAACUGUAUUUGUGUGUACCUAUACCUGAAUAAUCUUACUUACAGGGCUGAGAUUAGCAGGUUGAGUUAAGAGUAUCACACUCACUGGCUCCACACACAUUAGCUCAACUCUAACCCCAGUUGACAUGGAUGUCAAUACACCUCAUUACUCUACUGUCAUCAGUGGUAGGUAAAUGUUCAAAUUUAUUUCAAACCUGCAUCUGAACAUCUAUUUGAAUACCCUUCAAGGUGAAUACAGUGGCACCUCGGGAUACGAAAAGCUCAAAACAUGAACCAUUAUGUUAAGUGUAUUUAUGUAAGUGUAUUUUUGGGGGUCUGAAACGGAUUAAUCUAAUUUACAUUAUUCCUCAUGGGAACGAAUUCUGGAAUGAAUUAAGUUCGUAUCCCAAGGUACCGCUGUACUUUAAUGCUGAUGAAGAGAUCUUGAACUGAAGAAUUUCAGAUACACUUCACUUAUUUGUAUCAAACCUAUGUACAAUUCACCAGGCCCUGUAUGGGUUUAGCUCUUCUCAAUGAAUUUAAAUUAAUAAUACUGCGCUUGAAUAGUGCUGUGUGUCCCAUAUGGUUUAGUAAGUUUUGGAGAAUAGAAACAAAAAAUAUUGCUUUUAAUAAAUUGACUCUAAAAACAUCAUGCUUGAAUAUGAAAAUAGUAACUGUUGUGGUACUAAGUAAAAUAUUUUACAGUAAUAAAAUGGAAAAUCAUGGGAGGAGGGCCAAAGCCAUAGGGGUCAUACAGCAUCUUAGGUAAUGGAAAAAUCAAAUUUGAUCCAAGGAAUGGAAGGAUUACUCAAGAUUAUUUGGAUCAAGAACCCUUCACUGGCAUCAAGUCAUCUCCCUUUAUAGAAUAAAAAAAAAAAAAGUCACAUGAUAAAUACUUAACCUCAUUUGUAAACUGGUCACUUAAGAGUGGAUUUUUCUAAUCAAAAUUAAAUACUUUCACAUUAUGUAUCCACCCUGAAGUAUAUAACAUGUGAGGCAUUAUAACACUACCUUUGUGGUAUACUCUUCAUCACAUCAAUAAAUAUCUUUUGCAAGUAACCCACAAUUCAGAGUGGGAAUGUUUGUGUCUGUCCUGGGCCAUCAAGUUGCAAGUGGUUCAGCACAGACUGGAAUAUUGUCUAAGGUUUCCACCAAAUUGUAACUUAAUCUUUAAUAAAUAAUGUCAGAGUGCAGUUAGAAAAUAAUGUGAAAAAUGUCAUACUAGAUUUUCCAAGUCUGCCAGAGAAAGAUUAUUUUAAAGAUAUCUAUUGUAAAGUUUGUUCUAUUUUUUUUAAGUACAGUAGGGAAGAGCUGUACUGUAUAUUGCUAUAAAGUUACUUUCAUAGUACAUUUUUUUACAGGCACCAAAGUUCCCGAAGCACAUUACCAAUUGGCCUACAUGUGUGACACAAAGGUUCCCCCCCCCCCCAAAAAAAAAUAGACAUACUAAUUAUGAAAAACAGUAUCAAACUACAAUGUAAUUUAAGAUUAACCGAGAUGAUUGAUGACACGAAACGCAACGGUCUGGAGUUUUGAGACUCUCUGAUCGCAGGUUCUAUCCCCGCCCAUGGUAUGGUAUGUUUGCAAUCAUGUCAUUACGAUUUCAUGAGUCUAUAUAUAAUACUGUACACCCUUCAUGGGAUGUAUAAUAUACUAGAUCAAAAAAUUACCUUCCAUUCUUCAGGUGUCAUAUGACCCCUUACAGGUGAAGUGCUUCCCCUUGAUAAUAAUCCCUUAAAAAGGGACUUAAGGUAAACUCUUAGCAUGUAUGCACUGCGAGAUUCACACCUCUCGAUAUAUUAUACCCUAGAGCUGAAGUGAUAUAUCACAGCCAUAUACAGAGUUGUAGGUGUCUUGUAGCAGAGAUGUGAUAAGUUGUUGUAGAUAACACCAGGUGUAUGUAUUUCUACCCCAAGACUUUAUACGAUGCUUAAAUAAUAAUCUCUGAAAAAUUAUUAAUUGAUACUUAUAUAUCGCUCUUUACUGAAUUUUGCAGCGUUGUAUGAUAGAUGUUGGUUUAGCAUUUCCAUAUGAAUAUAAUAUUACGACUGUCUCUUGAAACAUCGGGGAUUUGACUUCAGUAACCUACAUAACUGUAUUAUGCAAUCUGAGGUUUCUUGAUGCUGGUGAGGGGCUCUUGAUCCAAGCCCCUCAAGGAAGGUUCCUUGAUGUUGGUGAGGGGUUCUUGAUCCAAGCCCCUCAAGGAAAGUUCCUUGAUGUUGGUGAGGGCUCUUGAUCCAAGCCCCUCAAGGAAGGUUCCUUGAUUUUGGUGAGGGGCUCUUAAUCCAAGCCCCUCAAGGAAAGUUCCUUGAUGUUGGUGAGGGCUCUUGAUCCAAGGCCCUCAAGGAAGGUUCCUUGAUGUUGGUGAGGGGCUCUUAAUCCAAGUCCCUCAAGGAAGGUUCCUUGAUGUUGAUGAGGGGAUCUUGAUCCAAGCCUCUCAAGGAAGGUUCCUUGAUGUUGGUGAGGGACUCUUGAUCCAAGCCCCUCAAGGAAGGUUCCUUGAUGUUGGUGAGGGGCUCUUGAUCCAAGCCCCUCAAGGAAGGUUCCUUGAUGUUGAUGAGGGGCUCUUGAUCCAAGGCCCUCAAGGAAAGUUCCUUUAUGUUGGUGAGGGCUCUUGAUCCAAGCCCCUCAAGGAAGGUUCCUUGAUGUUGGUGAGGGACUCUUGAUCCAAGCCCCUCAAGGAAAGUUCUUUUAUGUUGGUGAAGGCUCUUGAUCCAAGCCCCUCAAAGAAGGUUCCUUGAUGUUGAUGAGGGGCUCUUGAUCCAAGCCCCUCAAGGAAGGUUCCUUGAUAUUGGUGAGGGCUCUUGAUCCAAGCCCCUCAAAGAAGGUUCCUUGAUGUUGGUGAGGGGCUCUUAAUCCAAGUCCCUCAAAGAAGGUUCCUUGAUGUUGAUGAGGGGCUCUUGAUCCAAGCCCCUCAAAGAAGGUUCCUUGAUGUUGAUGAUGGGCUCUUGAUCCAAGCUCCUCAAAGAAGGUUCCUUGAUGUUGAUGAGGGACUCUUGAUCCAAGUCCCUCAAGGAAGAUUCCUUGAUGUUGGUGAGGGCUCUUGAUCCAAGCCCCUCAAGGAAGGUUCCUUGAUGUUGGUGAGGGACUCUUGAUCCAAGUCCCUCAAGGAAGGUUCCUUGAUGUUGGUGAGGGGCUCUUAAUCCAAGCCCCUCAAGGAAGGUUCCUUGAUGUUGGUGAGGGACUCUUGAUCCAAGCCCCUCAAAGGUUCCUUGAUGUUGGUGAGGGGCUCUUAAUCCAAGCCCCUCAAGGAAGAUUCCUUGAUGUUGGUGAGGGGCUAUUGAUCCAAGCUCCUCAAGGAAGGGUCCUUGAUGUUGGUGAGGGCUCUUAAUCCAAGCCCCUCAAGGAAGGUUCCUUGAUGUUGGUGAGGGGCUCUUAAUCCAAGCUCCUCAAGGAAGGUUCCUUGAUGUUGGUGAGGGGCUCUUAAUCCAAGCCCCUCAAGGAAGGUUCCUUGAUGUUGGUGAGGGGCUCUUAAUCCAAGCCCCUCAAGGAAGGUUCCUUGAUGUUGGUGAGGGGCUCUUAAUCCAAGCCCCUCAAAGAAGGUUCCUUGAUGUUGAUGAGGGGCUCUUGAUCCAAGCUCCUCAAAGAAGGUUCCUUGAUGUUGAUGAGGGACUCUUGAUCCAAGUCCCUCAAGGAAGAUUCCUUGAUGUUGGUGAGGGCUCUUGAUCCAAGCCCCUCAAGGAAGGUUCCUUGAUGUUGGUGAGGGACUCUUGAUCCAAGACCCUCAAGGAAGGUUCCUUGAUGUUGGUGAGGGGCUCUUAAUCCAAGCCCCUCAAGGAAGGUUCCUUGAUGUUGGUGAGGGACUCUUGAUCCAAGCCCCUCAAAGGUUCCUUGAUGUUGGUGAGGGGCUCUUAAUCCAAGCCCCUCAAGGAAGAUUCCUUGAUGUUGGUGAGGGGCUAUUGAUCCAAGCUCCUCAAGGAAGGUUCCUUGAUGUUGGUGAGGGCUCUUAAUCCAAGCCCCUCAAGGAAGGUUCCUUGAUGUUGGUGAGGGGCUCUUAAUCCAAGCUCCUCAAGGAAGGUUCCUUGAUGUUGGUGAGGGGCUCUUAAUCCAAGCCCCUCAAGGAAGGUUCCUUGAUGUUGGUGAGGGGCUCUUAAUCCAAGCCCCUCAAGGAAGGUUCCUUGAUGUUGGUGAGGGGCUCUUAAUCCAAGCUCCUCAAGGAAGGUUCCUUGAUGUUGGUGAGGGGCUCUUAAUCCAAGCUCCUCAAGGAAGGUUCCUUGAUGUUGGUGAGGGGCUCUUAAUCCAAGCCCCUCAAGGAAGGUUCCUUGAUGUUGGUGAGGGGCUCUUAAUCCAAGCUCCUCAAGGAAGGUUCCUUGAUGUUGGUGAGGGGCUCUUAAUCCAAGCCCCUCAAGGAAGGUUCCUUGAUGUUGGUGAGGGGCUCUUAAUCCAAGCUCCUCAAGGAAGGUUCCUUGAUGUUGGUGAGGGGCUCUUAAUCCAAGCCCCUCAAGGAAGGUUCCUUGAUGUUGGUGAGGGGCUCUUAAUCCAAGCCCCUCAAGGAAGGUUCCUUGAUGUUGGUGAGGGGCUCUUAAUCCAAGCCCCUCAAGGAAGGUUCCUUGAUGUUGGUGAGGGGCUCUUAAUUCAAGCUCCUCAAGGAAGGUUCCUUGAUGUUGGUGAGGGGCUCUUAAUCCAAGCUCCUCAAGGAAGGUUCCUUGAUGUUGGUGAGGGGCUCUUAAUCCAAGCCCUCAAGGAAGGUUCCUUGAUGUUGUGAGGGGCUCUUAAUUCAAGCCCCUCAAGGAAGGUUCCUUGAUGUUGGUGAGGGCUCUUAAUUCAAGCCCCUCAAGGAAGGUUCCUUGACACUGGACAGGUACCUAAAGUCAGUACCUGACCAAUCGGGCUGUGGUUCGUACGUCAGCUUGCGUGCAGCCAGCAG